CACAAAAAUACAAAAUUGACAGCAUGGUAAAUUUUACACAAAAAAGCGUCAAAAUAUGAUAAAACUUUCUUAUAUUAACACCUACCUAUAGUUUUUGUAAGUAAAAGUUAUUCAGAUUGGUCCACUUCAUCUUUAUAGAAAGUAUGAGAAAAAGUUUAAUUGUGGAACUGUGAUUUUUUUCAUGAUAAUAGCCCAAAAAUAGGUAAAAAUCGAUGAAAAAUGGGAAAAAUCAUCAAAAUUGGGCAUUUUCAAAGGGCUGUAGCAAAAAAAGAAGUGCACCACCAUAUGAUUUUUUCUUCACCAAUUAUUUUGUUAGAGUCUUAUAAACCCAAAAAUCAGGUUAAGAAAAAAAGUUUAAUUCUAGAAAUUUUU
rnacentral:lncRNA from 1 species